CAGCUGCGCUAUUUUCUUGCACAUUUUCGUGUGCAUUUGAUAAUCAUACAUUUCCUGCUCCACAUUGGCAACGUUAGCAAUAGCGGUCCCGUUACACGCAUCGCUGGGGGGCUGGUUAAUUUUCCCAGCGCUGGAAGCCAUAUCAACCCCGGAGUCUCCCGUUAGAUCACGCUGAUCAAUCACAAAUCGGGCUGCGCAACACCCUGAUACCCUCUACGUGAUCCUGAAGGAAAAGUCCUUACGACAGCCGAAACCAUUCUGCACGAUGGAGCUUCUGGUGAACACUCUCCCGCUCCGCCGUAAAGUUGCCCCCUAUGAGCGCUCAGCUCACAUUCAAAUGCCAUCAGGGACAAGGACAAGAUAAGGCUUUGCCGCACCGCUGAAAAGGACUCAUUUACGGCAUGUGCCCCAGCUCGGACACCUGUCUCUCACCCGGGGCGUGACUUCAGUCUUACAUUACGAGUCACGGGUACUACAUUGAAUUACAACCCCUCCCAUGAACCAGUAUAUCCACCCACACGAUCGACAUUCACACAAUACAAUCAUUUCCAUAUAUCUGAGUCAGAGCCCAGUUGGUCAUUUUUAUUUGUGAACGUUUAAGCAUUAAGGGUUCAAUUGCCUAAAUUAUUUUAUGUUAUAAACAAAUCUCAAAGCACAUUGCAAGACUGCAGGCUGAUUAGAAGAAAAAAAAAAUAUUGAAAACGUAAUAGAGAUUGCUAAUGUGACGUCAUCGUGACGUUUUACCAGUGGUGAACGCAAAGCAUUUUGGGAAUCCGCGGCACAAACAGAAGGCGCCAGACUUGAUUGCAUGGAGGGAAGAACGCAGUGUUCAAGAUGCCGUCUACCUGCUGUGUUAUAAACUGCAAUAGUCGUUCUCACGAUAGAAGUGGCAUAAAGCUUAAGAAGGGAAAAUCCUUUUAUCGUUUUCCAGCGUGGAAAAAUUAUAGUACAAGCCAUGUUUCAGAGGUGACAAAAGGCGACGAAUGGCAUGGAUAGCAGCAGUAAGGAGGCCCAAGAUUACCUUCGAUAACACUCCACCACACAUGAUGGUGUGUUCAAAGCAUUUUCACAAAAGCAAACCUGCCUAUGAAAUGUUGGAGUGUGAUCCUGACUGAGCCCCUUCUCUGUACCUCGGCCAUACUGAGGUCAAAGCUACGAACACAGACCGGUUCAAGCGGUUUAGGAGAAGAGCGAUGAGGUCACAACAACAGCAACCCCCAUCGCUAGGCACUGACCACACUGGUCCUGAGGCUGAGUUGGAUAAUGCAGCACCUUUAUACCCAGACAACACUACACCUGCAACUGAGAUGGAAGGUCCCAUGAAUCCACCCCCAUCACCGGGCACUGUCCACACCGGUCAUGAGACUGAGUUGAAUGAAGCAGCACAUUUGUUCCUAGGUAAAUAUUGGUAACAGACGCAAGUAGACCAGAGACCAGCGUGCCAGUGAUAAGCAGAACACCGAGAACUGUGGCUUUCUUCAGAAGCUCUCGCCUGGAGACCUAGUGUUAGCGGACCGUGGAUUUGAUAUUAAAGAAAGUGUUGCCCUUGUGGGUGCUACAAAAGAUGUGGAACAGACCAGGAAGUUAGCUCAUGUCAGGAUCCACGUGGAGCGAGUGAUAGGGUGUAUACGCUCUAAGUCUAACAUAUUAAAUGACACAAUUGUGGUGCCUUGUGAGGGGGAGGAUAAGACUUUGCUGGAUAAAAUUUUGGUUGUGUGCUGUGCUUUGACCAAUAUGUUUCCAAGUAUUGUUGUGAAGCCGUCAUGUUAGAAUUAUACACCAUGCUCACAUCUAAUAUGUAAAUAUGUUGUUGUUUUUUUUCAAAAGAUUUUGUAAUGUCACUUCUUACAUGUAAUGAUUUUUAGCCAUCUCUGUAAAUAAA